CAACAGUUUACAAAUGCCAUGACAAUGUCAGGAAGUUACCCUAUAUGGUCUCCAAAGGGAAGGCAUGAAUAAUCCACCCCUUGUUUAGCAUAUCACCAAGAAAUAACCAUAAAAAUGGGCAGCCUUUGGGGCUGCUCUGUCUACGUAGUAGCCAUUCUUUUAUUCCUUUACUUUCUUAAUUAACUUGCUUUCACUUUAUGGACUCACCCUGAAUUCUUUUUGCACGAGAUACAAGAACCCUCUCUUGGGAUCUGGAUCGGGACCCCUUUCCUCUAACAUCUUUCUGGAAUGCAGAUGAGACUAUAGUGUGGAAACCCCAACCCAAAGGCUAACUUUGGGCUUUGGUACUUACACCAUUUAGUCUCCUGAUUCUCAGGCCUUAGUACUUGGACUGAAUUACACCACCAGCUUCCCUGGUUCUCUAGCCUGCAGAUGGUGGAUCUUGGAACUUCUCAGCCUCCAUAACUGCGUGAGCCAAUUCCUGUAAUACAUCUCCAGUUAUAUGUGUAUAUGUAUCCUGUUUGUUCUGUUUCUCUGGAGAACUCUGACUAAUAUACGAGCCAUUGGAUGGCAUACAGAGCUGGGAACUGCUCUUCCUGUCUGUGGGAGGAGUUCAUGGAGCUGUAGGUAGCUACAGCAGGACAAGAAUGGGAGCUUUUGGGGUGCCUGUCAGGAAGAGGGGUAAAUACAAGGGACCUCUGUGAGGUGAAGCUAUAGCCAGAGAAAUAGUAUUGGGUUUGUGUUGUUGUCAACCAAUUGUAGCCCAUGCUGAAUGGCCUGAAAAAUACUGAUUACAUGUUAGAGGCCUAUCCUUCCCACCUCCCCCCAUGCCUAGAAUAGAAGCAUCUCAAUGACCAUGUUCUUUGGGAUUUUUUCAGUUUCUAGAAAUGCCUGGCUCACUGGAGGUUCUCCGUGGUUGAAUGCUGUGUUUUCAGUUGGGUGAGUGAAUAAUGAACAAUGUUGUUAAUAACAAGGACUGUUUGGAUAAUAGAUUUCAUCAAACUUCCUGAGACCAGGGGUCUCCCUAUGUAAGGAAAGAAGGGAGAAAAAUAGGAGACAUUAAUAAAAUGUGUCAUUCACUCAUUCAACAACAAUUUGCUGUGUGCCACCAGGAACCAAUGCUAGGCACUAGAGGUACAAUAAUAAUCAAAACCAGAGUGAUCCUUGCUCUCAUGAAGUUGACAGCCUGGUGGCCUACUGUGUAUCAGUCUGCAGUCACAAAAUUGUAUGAUAACCAGGACCAGGGACUGGCCCCCCACAGAACUCUACCUAUCUCUGUUCCUCAUCUCUGCUCCUCUCUGUUCAUUUCCUUGUACGUGGCAAGUGUACAUUGGAAGCUCCUAAGUUUUACAUAUUAGAGCUACAGCAAUUGGAGAGAGAACUUGUUGCAUCUCUUGACCCCAAUUCCAAAAAUGCAGGACAAGUAGCUGAUCACCUUAGCUGGGAUCUAGAGCCUACUCCUUAGAUACCCAUUGCCUGUGAAGAGAGGGAGG
rnacentral:lncRNA from 10 species